GUCUACAGCCAUGCUACCCUAAACAAGCCCGAUCCCCUCUGAUCUCGGAAGCUAAGCAGGGUCGGGCCUCAUUAGUACUUGGAUAAGAGACCACCUAGGAAGACCAGGUUCUGUAGGUG
rnacentral:rRNA from 1 species